AUGGGUGCCGGCUUGUAUGGCUACAUCGACAAAACCCUAGAGGAGCCUCCCAAAACCAUAGUCACCAAAGACAAAGACGGCAAGGAUCAGGUUGUCUCGAACCCUGCCUAUGCCCCCUGGCUUGUACAGGACCAACAAAUCGUCGCCUAUCUUCUUCGAAACCUCUCCAAAGAGGUCCUUGUUCAGGUGGCGUCCAUGGAAACCUCACACGCGAUCUGGACAGCGUUGGCUAAUAUGUUCUCGGCCGUCUCCCUCUCCCGCGUCAACAACAUCCGCGCUGCCCUCACCAACGCGCAGAAGGGCACGCAAUCUGCCUCGGCGUUCUUUGGGCACAUGCGU
rnacentral:rRNA from 1 species